rnacentral:rRNA from 1 species
AGCAGCCGCGGUAAUUCCAGCUCCAAUAGCGUAUAUUAAAGUUGUUGCAGUUAAAAAGCUCGUAGUUGAAUUUCGAGAUCAGUACGCUGGUCGUGCCUUUGGUAUGCACUGGUGUCACUGGUUUCUCCCUUCUGAAGAACUGUCAUGCCAUUCAGUUGGUGUGGCGGGGAAUCAGGACUGUUACUUUGAAAAAAUUAGAGUGUUUAAAGCAGGCUCGCGCUUGAAUACAUUAGCAUGGAAUAAUGAAAUAGGACGUUUGACCCUAUUUUGUUGGUUUCUAGGAUCGACGUAAUGAUUAAUAGGGAUAGUUGGGGGCAUUAGUAUUCAAUUGUCAGAGGUGAAAUUCUUGGAUUUAUUGAAGACUAACUACUGCGAAAGCAUUUGCCAAGGAUGUUUUCAUUAAUCAAGAACGAAAGUUAGGGGAUCGAAGACGAUCAGAUACCGUCGUAGUCUUAACCAUAAACUAUGCCGACUAGGGAUCGGAUGAUGUUAAUUUUUAAUGACUCA